rnacentral:rRNA from 1 species
UUCCGGUUGAUCCUGCCGGAGGCCAUUGCUAUUGGAGUCCGAUUUAGCCAUGCUAGUCGCACGGGUUUAGACCCGUGGCGAACAGCUCAGUAACACGUGGCCAAGCUACCCUGUGGACCGGAACAACCUCGGGAAACUGAGGCUAAUUCCGGAUAUCGCUCCCAUGCUGGAAUGCCGGGAGCGACAAACGCCCCGGCGCCACAGGAUGCGGCUGCGGCCGAUUAGGUAGACGGUGGGGUAACGGCCCACCGUGCCCAUAAUCGGUACGGGUUGUGAGAGCAAGAGCCCGGAGACGGACUCUGAGACAAGAGUCCGGGCCCUACGGGGCGCAGCAGGCGCGAAACCUUUACACUGUACGAAAGUGCGAUAAGGGGACUCCAAGUGCGAGGGCAUACAGUCCUCGCUUUUCUACACCGUAAGGUGGUGUAGGAAUAAGGGCUGGGCAAGACCGGUGCCAGCCGCCGCGGUAAUACCGGCAGCCCAAGUGAUGGCCGCUAUUAUUGGGCCUAAAGCGUCCGUAGCCGGCCGAGUAAGUCCGUCGGGAAAUCCACACGCCUAACGUGUGGGCGUCCGGCGGAAACUGCCCGGCUUGGGACCGGGAGACCCGAGGGGUACGUCUGGGGUAGGAGUGAAAUCCUGUAAUCCUGGACGGACCGCCGGUGGCGAAAGCGCCUCGGGAGAACGGAUCCGACGGUGAGGGACGAAAGCUAGGGUCACGAACCGGAUUAGAUACCCGGGUAGUCCUAGCCGUAAACGAUGCUCGCUAGGUGUGGCGCAGGCUACGAGCCUGCGCUGUGCCGUAGGGAAGCCGUGAAGCGAGCCGCCUGGGAAGUACGUCCGCAAGGAUGAAACUUAAAGGAAUUGGCGGGGGAGCACUACAACCGGAGGAGCCUGCGGUUUAAUUGGAGUCAACGCCGGG